rnacentral:rRNA from 1 species
GACAGAGGUGCCAAGCGUUAGGCGGAAUCACUGGGCUUAAAGCGUGUGUAGGCGGGGGCCUAAGUACCUUGUGAAAUCCCACGGCUCAACCGUGGAACUGCUCGGUAUACUGGGUGCCUUGAGCCACUUAGGGGCUACCGGAACAAAUGGUGGAGCGGUGAAAUGCGUAGAUAUCAUUUGGAACGCCAAUGGUGAAAACAGGUAGCUGGGAGUGUGCUGACGCUGAGACACGAAAGCCAGGGGAGCGAACGGG